rnacentral:rRNA from 1 species
UACGAAGGGGGCGAGCGUUGUUCGGAAUUACUGGGCGUAAAGGGCGCGUAGGCGGCCGAUCAAGCCAGAUGUGAAAGUCCUGGGCUUAACCUGGGGACUGCAUUUGAUACUGAUUGGCUUGAAUGCAGGAGAGGAUAGCGGAAUUCCCAGUGUAGAGGUGAAAUUCGUAGAUAUUGGGAAGAACACCGGUGGCGAAGGCGGCUAUCUGGACUGUGAUUGACGCUGAGGCGCGAAAGCGUGGGGAGCAAACAGG